rnacentral:rRNA from 1 species
AGAUUAAGUUAUUAAGGGCGCACGGUGGAUGCCUUGGCACUAGAAGCCGAUGAAGGACGUUACUAACGACGAUAUGCUUUGGGGAGCUGUAAGUAAGCUUUGAUCCAGAGAUUUCCGAAUGGGGAAACCCAGCAUGAGUUAUGUCAUGUUAUCGAUAUGUGAAUACAUAGCAUAUCAGAAGGCACACCCGGAGAACUGAAACAUCUUAGUACCCGGAGGAAGAGAAAGAAAAUUCGAUUCCCUUAGUAGCGGCGAGCGAAACGGGAAGAGCCCAAACCAACAAGCUUGCUUGUUGGGGUUGUAGGACACUCUGUACGGAGUUACAAAGGACGACAUUAGACGAAUCAUCUGGAAAGAUGAAUCAAAGAAGGUAAUAAUCCUGUAGUCGAAAAUGUUGUCUCUCUUGAGUGGAUCCUGAGUACGACGGAGCACGUGAAAUUCCGUCGGAAUCUGGGAGG